UACAGAGGGGGCAAGCGUUGUUCGGAAUUACUGGGCGUAAAGGGCGCGUAGGCGGCCCGCUAAGUCGAACGUGAAAUCCCCGAGCUCAACUCGGGAACUGCGUCCGAUACUGGCGGGCUUGAAUCCGGGAGAGGGAUGCGGAAUUCCAGGUGUAGCGGUGAAAUGCGUAGAUAUCUGGAGGAACACCGAUGGCGAAGGCAGCCUUCUGGGCCAACACUGACGCUCAUGCACGAAAGCGUGGGGAGCAAACAGG
rnacentral:rRNA from 1 species